rnacentral:lncRNA from 1 species
CUUGGGGAGGAUUAAGUGAGACAUAUUUGUCUAGGGAUUUCCAAGUCCAAAAUGUCAUGCUGCUGAGCUUUAGAAAAGGCUCCGUUGGCAAAGGGGAUCCCUGUAGGAGGCUUCAAAGGUGACCAGGACCUUGACAAUGGGCAGGCCCAGGGAGAGGGCUCCAGCUCCCCUUGUGGGGUUGGAUUCAAACCAAAGCAACAAGGACGGGACUGUCUGGCACACACUCCUGUUUCCUUCUACAAGGACAUCUCAAGGACAUUUCCAAACCCAGGAGAUAAAAUGUAAUCUGYUGACUACAGUCUCAGUCUGAGAGCAAGUGCUGAGAUGCUUCACCAGCCAGCCACAGCACUCAGCCUGCGGAGUCCCUGAUGGGGACCAGAGGAGAGAUGCUGUCCUGACUUACCCUUCAAAGCACGCUCUGCAAACAGAAGGGACCCAGCCCUCAUCUAUCACCUGAGAAGCUAAACAACUUCCUCCGACGGCCUGUGGAGUAUAAAUCAAGAGGGCCCUAGCUGCUGCUGCUACUGCUGCC